rnacentral:lncRNA from 1 species
GGAAACCGAGGCACAACGAGGCAUGAGAACUCUCCUAUUGGCAGCAAGUGGACAGAAAGGCAGGUCUCUGGCCCAGGCUAUCUGUCCCCAGAGUCUGCCCCCAACCCCUUCCCUACACCACCUGGGGCUUUAGGCAGAGGGGCACCUGGACCAGGCUCACAUAUGGAGCAAAGCCUGCCUGAGGCCUCCCUGCGUGUCACCUGCUCCAGACCCAUCAAUCACAAUGCCUUAUGGAUUGUGUUAAAGCCCCAGAUUCCCAGUGGGCUGUGUUGCUUCAAUAUUUUCAUCAUGGGCUUCAAAUGGGAGAAAUCACGGAGGUGAAAACAUUCCGGCAUAUUGCUUUUUAACUUCCACUUGCUUAUUGAUAACCACCCUCGGUAUGUUAUUCUUACCCCUUGUUGGAUAUAGCAAACAACAUAACCAGCCAACUGCAAAGACUGUUAUAUCGGCAACCUAAUUACUUUAUCGGAUGUGGUUAACAAUGGGUUUUCUUUUCCUCUACCAUUUCUGAUAAAAUGUUUGUACAGCGUUCUGUGUGGGGAAUAUAAAGCAACAGCUAUAAAAAAUGAACAAGGAUAAUUUGUGUGUUGGCA